AGCAACUCUGCAGGGAAGAAUAUAGGGAAAUAAACGCCUUCAUCUCUCUCUUGUCCCACCCGCAGAGCUCCUUCUGGGAUUCUCUAUUGGCUGAACUCAGCCAGAAGCUGCCAAGGGAGACCCCCACAACUGGAUGCAGCCCACUGAAGUCAGCUUCCUGGGGUGCGUAGCUGAAGGUAGCAGGGAGCAAAAAGAAUCUGAAGGGGAAGUGAACAAUGUAGAGCGUAUCUGUGCUGAAGACGUAAGGAGAGAGUGGAGGUCAGAAGCUGGCAUGGUCCCUGGUGCAUGUAUCAGCCGCUAAAGCUGGAGUGGAUGAAUCAGAACUUUCCCCAUGGGAGCAUUUAUAAAAAGGGGACACCCAGCGCAGAAGAUGUUUUCCAGGGAGAUCUCGGGGAGCCCAACAAGCCAAGAAGAGCAGAGCAAAGCAUUCCAAGGAAGGACUCUAAGUCUGCAACCGAGCACACACGAGGCUGGAGUGCAGUGGUGCAAUCAUGGCUUACUGCAGCUUCAACCUCUUGGGCUCAAGCCAUCCUCCUGCCUUGGACUCCCAAGUAGCUGGGACUACAGCACAAGGAAAGACCAUGUGAAUACACAGCAAGAACGUGGUGCUCUGCAAGUCAGAAACAGACCCGUCAUCAGACACCAAAUCAGCCAGCACCUUGAUCUAGGAUUUCUGGCCUCCAAAACAGUGAGAAAAUAAAAUUCUGUUGUUUAAGCCAUGCAGCCUGUUGUAUUUCAUUAUGGCAGCCUGAGCAGAAUAAGACAGGUAUAUACAAAUGCAAAUUCUAUUAAGAAAUCUGUAUCUUU
rnacentral:lncRNA from 1 species